rnacentral:rRNA from 1 species
GACGAACGCUGUCGGCGUGCUUAACACAUGCAAGUCGAACGGAAAGGCCCUGCUUUUGUGGGGUGCUCGAGUGGCGAACGGGUGAGUAACACGUGAGUAACCUGCCCUUGACUUUGGGAUAACUUCAGGAAACUGGGGCUAAUACCGGAUAGGAGCUCCUGCUGCAUGGUGGGGGUUGGAAAGUUUCGGCGGUUGGGGAUGGACUCGCGGCUUAUCAGCUUGUUGGUGGGGUAGUGGCUUACCAAGGCUUUGACGGGUAGCCGGCCUGAGAGGGUGACCGGCCACAUUGGGACUGAGAUACGGCCCAGACCCCUACGGGAGGCAGCAGUGGGGAAUAUUGCACAAUGGGCGGAAGCCUGAUGCAGCAACGCCGCGUGCGGGAUGACGGCCUUCGGGUUGUAAACCGCUUUCGCCUGUGACGAAGCGUGAGUGACGGUAAUGGGUAAAGAAGCACCGGCUAACUACGUGCCAGCAGCCGCGGUGAUACGUAGGGUGCGAGCGUUGUCCGGAUUUAUUGGGCGUAAAGGGCUCGUAGGUGGUUGAUCGCGUCGGAAGUGUAAUCUUGGGGCUUAACCCUGAGCGUGCUUUCGAUACGGGUUGACUUGAGGAAGGUAGGGGAGAAUGGAAUUCCUGGUGGAGCGGUGGAAUGCGCAGAUAUCAGGAGGAACACCAGUGGCGAAGGCGGUUCUCUGGGCCUUUCCUGACGCUGAGGAGCGAAAGCGUGGGGAGCGAACAGGCUUAGAUACCCUGGUAGUCCACGCUGUAAACGGUGGGUACUAGGUGUGGGGUCCAUUCCACGGGUUCCGUGCCGUAGCUAACGCUUUAAGUACCCCGCCUGGGGAGUACGGCCGCAAGGCUAAAACUCAAAGGAAUUGACGGGGCCCCGCACAAGCGGCGGAGCAUGCGGAUUAAUUCGAUGCAACGCGUAGAACCUUACCUGGGUUUGACAUGGAUCGGGAGUGCUCAGAGAUGGGUGUGCCUCUUUUGGGGUCGGUUCACAGGUGGUGCAUGGCUGUCGUCAGCUCGUGUCGUGAGAUGUUGGGUUAAGUCCCGCAACGAGCGCAACCCUUGUUCACUGUUGCCAGCACGUUAUGGUGGGGACUCAGUGGAGACCGCCGGGGUCAACUCGGAGGAAGGUGGGGAUGACGUCAAGUCAUCAUGCCCCUUAUGUCCAGGGCUUCACGCAUGCUACAAUGGCUGGUACAGAGAGUGGCGAGCCUGUGAGGGUGAGCGAAUCUCGGAAAGCCGGUCUCAGUUCGGAUUGGGGUCUGCAACUCGACCUCAUGAAGUCGGAGUCGCUAGUAAUCGCAGAUCAGCAACGCUGCGGUGAAUACGUUCCCGGG